GAAGAUGCUGGAGACUUUGUUGCAAGAAAGGAUGGCUUUAGGUCAUGUUGCUGAGGCCUGAUCUUAAAGAUCUAAUUGCUAUUGGAAGAGAAUCCUGUUUCCCAACUGGGCCUCCCCUCUGGAGAUGGAGCAAGGAAGACUGUCCAACUCUGCUCUGGGCACCCUGCUGAUGGAUGAGGUGUCAGGCCAGUCGUCAUGUGAGGACUGGUUUCCAAAUGCAGAUACAAAAAGAAAAAUUACUGUCAUGUGAUGUGUGAUCCAUGAUACCAUCAUAGUUUUGUUUUGUUGUGCUCCACCUUCAUACCUUCACCUAUGUUAGAACUUCUGAGAAGCUGAAGCAUCACAUAUAAGAAGCCAAGACCAUCCUCAAGGAGUUUAAUGAAUGUGACAUCACAAGAAAAAUAUGCAUCAACAUUGAAAAGAAAAGAAAUAAAAUUCCAUUAACAGAGCUUGAGGAAGUGGACUUGACUAAGCUGGAGUAAGGAGUGCAGAGAGUGAGGAGACAGGAUGCGAAACAAGAAGAUGAGGAAACUGAAGCCUGAGACAACAUGAAUUCUACAAUACAUUUACUG
rnacentral:antisense_RNA from 1 species